UUUGCUUACGGGGCGCAGCAGUGAGGAAUAUUGGUCAAUGGUCGGGAGACUGAACCAGCCAAGCCGCGUGAGGGAGGAAGGUACAGAGUAUCGUAAACCUCUUUUGUCAGGGAACAAAGGCGGGGACGUGUCCCCGGAUGAGUGUACCUGAAGAAAAAGCAUCGGCUAACUCCGUGCCAGCAGCCGCGGUAAUACGGAGGAUGCGAGCGUUAUCCGGAUUUAUUGGGUUUAAAGGGUGCGCAGGCGGCACGGCAAGCCGGCGGUCAAAUCGCGGG
rnacentral:rRNA from 1 species